rnacentral:rRNA from 1 species
AUUGAACGCUGGCGGCAGGCCUAACACAUGCAAGUCGAACGGUAACAGGAAGCAGCUUGCUGCUUUGCUGACGAGUGGCGGACGGGUGAGUAAUGUCUGGGAAACUGCCCGAUGGAGGGGGAUAACUACUGGAAACGGUAGCUAAUACCGCAUAACGUCGCAAGACCAAAGAGGGGGACCUUAGGGCCUCUUGCCAUCGGAUGUGCCCAGAUGGGAUUAGCUAGUAGGUGGGGUAACGGCUCACCUAGGCGACGAUCCCUAGCUGGUCUGAGAGGAUGACCAGCCACACUGGAACUGAGACACGGUCCAGACUCCUACGGGAGCCAGCAGUGGGGAAUAUUGCACAAUGGGCGCAAGCCUGAUGCAGCCAUGCCGCGUGUAUGAAGAAGGCCUUCGGGUUGUAAAGUACUUUCAGCGGGGAGGAAGGGAGUAAAGUUAAUACCUUUGCUCAUUGACGUUACCCGCAGAAGAAGCACCGGCUAACUCCGUG